rnacentral:rRNA from 1 species
CACGAAGUUAGCCGGGGCUUCUUCUCACGCUACCGUCAUCAUCGUCGCGUGCGAAAGAGCUUUACAACCCGAAGGCCUUCAUCACUCACGCGGCAUUGCUGGAUCAGGCUUGCGCCCAUUGUCCAAUAUUCCCCACUGCUGCCUCCCGUAGGAGUCUGGGCCGUGUCUCAGUCCCAGUGUGGCUGAUCAUCCUCUCAGACCAGCUAAGGAUCGUUGCCUUGGUAGGCCGUUACCCCACCAACAAGCUAAUCCUACGCGGGCCCAUCCCAUGGCGAUAAAUCUUUGUCCCUCAAGACACAUACGGUAUUAGCUCCAGUUUCCCGGAGUUAUUCCGUACCACAGGGCAGGUUCCCACGCGUUACUCACCCGUGCGCCACUAGGGCCGAAGCCCUCGUUCGACUUGCAUGUGUUAGGCAUGCCGCCAGCGUUCGUUCUGAGCCAGGAUCAAACUCU